rnacentral:tRNA from 1 species
UAGUGAUUAGUUUAAUAAAAACAAAUGAUUUCGACUCAUUAGACUAUGGUUGACCAUAAUCACUAA